rnacentral:rRNA from 1 species
GAAUUCGCCCUUAGAGUUUGAUCCUGGCUCAGGACGAACGCUGGCGGCGCGCCUAACACAUGCAAGUCGAACGAGAGAGAGGGAGCUUGCUUCCUCAAUCGAGUGGCGAACGGGUGAGUAACGCGUGAGGAACCUGCCUCAAAGAGGGGGACAACAGUUGGAAACGACUGCUAAUACCGCAUAAGCCCACAGGUCGGCAUCGACCAGAGGGAAAAGGAGCAAUCCGCUUUGAGAUGGCCUCGCGUCCGAUUAGCUAGUUGGUGAGGUAACGGCCCACCAAGGCAACGAUCGGUAGCCGGACUGAGAGGUUGAACGGCCACAUUGGGACUGAGACACGGCCCAGACUCCUACGGGAGGCAGCAGUGGGGAAUAUUGCACAAUGGGGGAAACCCUGAUGCAGCGACGCCGCGUGGAGGAAGAAGGUCUUCGGAUUGUACACUCCUGUUGUUGAGGAAGAUAAUGACGGUACUCAACAAGGAAGUGACGGCUAACUACGUGCCAGCAGCCGCGGUAAAACGUAGGUCACAAGCGUUGUCCGGAAUUACUGGGUGUAAAGGGAGCGCGGGCGGGAAGACAAGUUGGAAGUGAAAUCUAUGGGCUCAACCCAUAAACUGCUUUCAAAACUGUUUUUCUUGAGUAGUGCAGAGGUAGGCGGAAUUCCCGGUGUAGCGGUGGAAUGCGUAGAUAUCGGGAGGAACACCAGUGGCGAAGGCGGCCUACUGGGCACCAACUGACGCUGAGGCUCGAAAGUGUGGGUAGCAAACAAGAUUAGAUACCCUGGUAGUCCACACCGUAAACGA